CCUCUGCCUUCCCUCAGAUACAAACCUUUCCAGUGGAUCCCCCAUUCCAAUGACUGAGGAUUCCCUAGGGAGAAGUCAGCUUGCAGCUGCUGUCUGCCCAUCUUGGUUAAGCGAGACAUCCAGACUCCUCAAGGGACCAAAAAUGGAAUCCUUGAGCUUCACCCAGCCACAGCAAUCACUCAUCCCACCACUCUAAUGGGUAGUAGCCGCCUCCACUCGAAAGCUAGUCCUUUGAAGGAGACUAUUCGAAGCAAGUAUUGUGUGGAACACUUCGAGUUUUUGCUAACUAUUAAAUCUGAAUCUUCGUUGAGCCAACUAGACUCUAUGAAAUGGAAAACAAGAUCGUUCACUUAAAGGGGUAUUGAAGAAGUUAGUUAAAGAUACAAUUCUCAGCAUCAUGGUUUACUCCAUGGACAGGCUCCCAAAGGAUGGUGAGAAGACACAAGGCAUAUGUCUUGGCAGCUUUUUGGUAACAGGGAACACACAGCAACCCUAUGUUGUAAAGCUUUAUGGGGCUUUGGGGAGGGCAGAGCACCUUGAUGGGG
rnacentral:lncRNA from 1 species